rnacentral:rRNA from 1 species
UGGGGAAUAUUGGUCAAUGGGCGAGAGCCUGAACCAGCCAAGUAGCGUGCAGGAUGACGGCCCUAUGGGUUGUAAACUGCUUUUAUAAGGGAAUAAAGUGGGUCACGUGUGACUUUUUGCAUGUACCUUAUGAAUAAGGACCGGCUAAUUCCGUGCCAGCAGCCGCGGUAAUACGGAAGGUCCGGGCGUUAUCCGGAUUUAUUGGGUUUAAAGGGAGCGUAGGCCGGAGAUUAAGCGUGUUGUGAAAUGUAGUGGCUCAACCUCUGCACUGCGAGCGACG